rnacentral:tRNA from 3 species
GCCCGUAUAAUGUAGUCUGGAUAUCAUCUCGGCCUUCUAAGCCGAUAACCGGGGUUCGAAUCCCCGUACGGGCG